GACGAACGCUGGCGGCGUGCUUAACACAUGCAAGUCGAACGGAAAGGCCCUGCUUGCAGGGUGCUCGAGUGGCGAACGGGUGAGUAACACGUGGGUGAUCUGCCCCUUACUUUGGGAUAAGCCUGGGAAACUGGGUCUAAUACUGGAUAGGACCAUGCUGUAGGUGGUGUGGUGGAAAGAUUAGUUUCGGUAAGGGAUGAGCUCGCGGCCUAUCAGCUUGUUGGUGGGGUAAUGGCCUACCAAGGCGUCGACGGGUAGCCGGCCUGUGAGGGUGGACGGCCACAUUGGGACUGAGAUACGGCCCAGACUCCUACGGGAGGCAGCAGUGGGGAAUAUUGCACAAUGGGCGCAAGCCUGAUGCAGCGACGCCGCGUGGGGGAUGACGGCCUUCGGGUUGUAAACUCCUUUCAGCCAUGACGAAGCCCUUGUGGUGACGGUAGUGGUAGAAGAAGCACCGGCUAACUACGUG
rnacentral:rRNA from 1 species